rnacentral:rRNA from 1 species
GACGUAGGGCGCGAGCGUUGUCCGGAUUUAUUGGGCGUAAAGAGCUCGUAGGCGGCUUGUCGCGUCGUCCGUGAAAACCUGCAGCUCAACUGCAGGCUUGCGGUCGAUACGGGCAGGCUCGAGUUCGGUAGGGGAGACUGGAAUUCGUGGUGUAGCGGUGAAAUGCGCAGAUAUCAGGAGGAACACCGGUGGCGAAGGCGGGUCUCUGGGCCGAUACUGACGCUGAGGAGCGAAAGCGUGGGGAGCGAACAGG